CUUUACCAGGUUUAACUAGUAGAAUACCCAAGUCGAGAUCGAGUUCCAUUGACCGAUCAGCGACUAAUAAAAAAAUUUCUCAAUACCGUCUUCGACUGGAAGAGAAACAGAAAUUACGUUUUCAUUAUGGAUUAACAGAAAGACAGUUACUCAAAUAUGUUUGUGUCGCCAAAAAAGCCAAGGGGUCGACCGGUCAAUUAUUGUUGCAAUUGCUUGAAAUGCGGUUGGAUAAUACAAUGUUUCGUUUGGGUAUGGUUCCCACAAUUCCAGCAGCAAGACAGUUGGUUAACCAUMGACAUGUGUWAAUAAAUGCAAAUAUGGUKCAUAUACCGAGCUAUAACUGCAAAACCGGMGAUAUAAUUACAAUAAGGGMUCGCGAACGAAACCGAUUAGCAAACGGGGAAAGUG
rnacentral:precursor_RNA from 1 species